rnacentral:rRNA from 1 species
UACGUAGGGGGCAAGCGUUGCCCGGAUUCAUUGGGCGUAAAGAGCGUGUAGGCGGCCAGGUAGGUCGGUUGUGAAAACUGGAGGCUCAACCUUCAGAGGUCGACCGAAACCAUCUGGCUAGAGUCCGGGAGAGGAGAGUGGAAUUCCUGGUGUAGCGGUGGAAUGCGCAGAUAUCAGGAGGAACACCGAUAGCGAAGGCAGCUCGCUGGGACGGUACUGACGCUAAGGCGCGAAAGCGUGGGGAGCGAACCGG